GGUGUAGCCAAGCGGUAAGGCAUGGGACUUUGACUCCCACAUUCGCAGGUUCGAAUCCUACCACC
rnacentral:tRNA from 1 species